AGCAGCCGCGGUAAUUCCAGCUCCAAUAGCGUAUAUUAAAGUUGUUGCAGUUAAAAAGCUCGUAGUUGAAUUUCGGGAUCAAUUAGUCGGUCGUGCCUCUGGUACGUACUGGUUUUAUUGGUUCCUCCCUUCUGACGAAACAUGAUGUCAUUAAUUUGGUGUCGUGGAGAAUCAGGACUGUUACCUUGAAAAAAUUAGAGUGUUUAUAGCAGGCUAACGCUUGAAUACAUUAGCAUGGAAUAAUGAAAUAGGACGUUCGACCCUAUUUUGUUGGUUUCUAGGAUCGACGUAAUGAUUAAUAGGGAUAGUUGGGGGCAUUAGUAUUCAAUUGUCAGAGGUGAAAUUCUUGGAUUUAUUGAAGACUAACUACUGCGAAAGCAUUUGCCAAGGAUGUUUUCAUUAAUCAAGAACGAAAGUUAGGGGAUCGAAGACGAUCAGAUACCGUCGUAGUCUUAACCAUAAACUAUGCCGACUAGGGAUCGGAUGAUGUUAAUUUUUAAUGU
rnacentral:rRNA from 1 species